GACGUAGGAUGCAAGCGUUGUCCGGAUUUAUUGGGCGUAAAGAGCGUGUAGGCGGCCAGGUAGGUCUGCUGUGAAAACUCGAGGCUCAACCUCGAGACGUCGGCGGAAACCAUCUGGCUAGAGUCCGGAAGAGGAGAGCGGAAUUCCUGGUGUAGCGGUGAAAUGCGUAGAGAUCGGGAAGAACAUCGGUGGCGAAAGCGCUCUACUGGACCGCAACUGACACUCAGGGACGAAAGCUAGGGGAGCGAAUGGG
rnacentral:rRNA from 1 species